GGCCAUUAGCCACGGAGGCGGUGAGCGAGCGGGCAACCUUGCGCAUGCGUAGGACUUGCAGCUUCCUCGGCGCCCGUGGACUUAAGGGUUUUGGGGUUGGGGGCUACUUGGUGAACUCUGUUCAGAGAAGGCACUGAUCUAAGCUGAGGUGUUGUCUCAGACCUUACCGCUGAAUUCUAGUCGGAAAAAAUUGUUGAAACAACUGGUCCAGCCUCCUUCAUAUCACAAUUAUGACUUGUCAGACGAGUCUCACUCUGUUGUCCGGGCUGAAGUGUAGUGGUGCAAACUCGGCUCACUGCAACCUCCACCUCCCUGGUUCAAGCGAUUCUCCUGCCUCAGCCUCCCCGAGUAGCUGCAACUACAGGCGUGCACCAUCGCACACACUGUAUUUUUAAUAGAGACAGGGUUUUACCAUGUUGGCCAGGCUGGUCUCAAACUCCCAACCUCAAGUGAUCCUCCUGCCUCGGCCUCCCAAAGUGUUUGGAUUACAGGCCUCAAACACUUCUUUUUUUUUGAGAUGGAGUCUCGCUCUGUCGCCAGGCUGGAGUGCAGUGGCACCAUCUCUGCUCACUGCAAGCUCCACCUCCCGGGUUCAAGCAAUUCUCCUGCCUCAGCCUCCUGAGUAGCUGGGAUUACAGUUGCGUUCCACCAAGCCUGGCUAAUUUUUGUAUUUUUAGUAGAGAUGGGGUUUCACUAGUUGGACAGGCUAGUCUCCAACUCCUGACCUCAGGUGAUCCACCCACCUCAGACUCCCAAAGUGCUGGGAUUACAGGCAUGAGACACUGGGCCCAGCCUCAACUGUAGACUUUUAACUCAAAGGUACAAAAAUUGGAUUAUGUCUGGGCCAGCUUUUUCCCUUGUGGAUAGCAUAGCCCAUUGGUUAGAGUUCAGAUUGUGGCUACAAGUAGAACUGGACUCUUUUUUUUUUUUUUUAAGCUGUAUAAGUGAAAACUACUUGGGCAAGUUACUUAACCUCUUGGUAUAUUAGUUUCCUCAUCUGUAAAAUUCUGGUUAUACUUGCCGUUUAGUGUUUGUUAAACAUUCUUAUGAUCAAAAAACAAGCAAAUAAAAACUCCUUAUCUUCAUCCAC